GCAGAGCCAUGGCCCUCUUCUUUGUUCUCUGCUGGAUCCAAGAGUCGGGGUCUCCCUAUGUUUCCCAGGCUGGCCUCGAACUCCUGACCUCAAGUGAUCCUCCCACCUCAGCCUCCCAGAGUGCUGGGAUUAAAGACGUGAGCCACGGCACCUGGCCUGAAUUUUCCUCAAAUUCAAAAAAUGCUGAUGAAGGUUUGGCUAAAAUCUUUGAUGAAAUUGUGCUCCAAGUGUUUUCCAAGGUUCCGUAUGACCCAUCAUUUGAUGAAACAAGAACAGCAGUCAGAUCCAUUACAAAGAGAGACACACAAAAAAGCUCUUCCCAACAAAAGAGCUUGAACAAUGCUGCAUUUGCCUCAGGUUCAAAUGAGCGAGAGGAACAUUUGGCUAAAAUAUUUGAUGAAAUUCUACUGCAGGUGUUUCCAAAGUUUCCGUAUGACCCAUCAUUUAACGAAGCAACAGCAGUCAGAUCCAUUACAAAGACAGACAUGAGAAAAGGAACCAGCGUUGCUUGGAAUUCUCCUAAACCAGAAUAUUUCCUUGGCAGUGUGGACAAAAUUCCUGAUAAAGAUCACCUUUCAGAGGAGAAGAAUUUUAAAGAAUCCUGUCUGUUCCACAGGGAUUUAAGAGAGCAGUUAACUACUGUAGAUAAAGAAACACUUCAAGGAGCAGCUAAACCAGAUGCUCACUUUAGGACUAUGCCCUGCGGGCAGCUUCUGCACUUCCUGCAGAAAAACAC
rnacentral:sRNA from 1 species